GGGGAAUCUUGCACAAUGGGGGAAACCCUGAUGCAGCGACGCCGCGUGAACGAUGAAGCCCUUCGGGGUGUAAAGUUCUUUCGACAGGAACGAUAAUGACUGUACCUGGAGAAGAAGCUGCGGCUAACUACGUGCCAGCAGCCGCGGUAAUACGUAGGCAGCGAGCGUAGUUCGGAGUUACUGGGCGUAAAGAGUGCGUAGGCGGCGAGCCAAGUUUGGUGUGAAAUCUCCCGGCUUAACCGGGAGGGUGCGCCGAAAACUGGUGGGCUGGAGUAUGGGAGAGGAAAGCGGAAUUCCUGGUGUAGCGGUGAAAUGCGUAGAUAUCAGGAGGAACACCUGCGGUGUAGACAGCUUUCUGGACCAAAACUGACGCUGAGGCACGAAAGCGUGUGUAGCAAACA
rnacentral:rRNA from 1 species